GUUUGAUCCUGGCUCAGGAUGAACGCUGGCGGCGUGCUUAACACAUGCAAGUCGAACGGGCCUUCGGGCUAGUGGCGGACGGGUGAGUAACGCGUGGGAAUCUGCCCUCAGGAGGGGGAUAACGGCCGGAAACGGCCGCUAAUACCCCAUAUGCCGAGAGGUGAAAUGAAUUUCGCCUGAGGAUGAGCCCGCAUCUGAUUAGCUAGUUGGUGAGGUAAUGGCUCACCAAGGCAUCGAUCAGUAGCUGGUCUGAGACGAUGAUCAGCCACACUGGGACUGAGACACGGCCCAGACUCCUACGGGAGGCAGCAGUGGGGAAUUUUCCGCAAUGGGCGCAAGCCUGACGGAGCAACGCCGCGUGAGGGACGAAGGCCUCUGGGCUGUAAACCUCUUUUCUCAAGGAAGAAGACAUGACGGUACUUGAGGAAUAAGCCACGGCUAAUUCCGUGCCAGCAGCCGCGGUAAUACGGGAGUGGCAAGCGUUAUCCGGAAUUAUUGGGCGUAAAGCGUCCGCAGGCGGCCUUGAAAGUCUGUUGUUAAAGCGUGGAGCUCAACUCCAUUUCAGCAAUGGAAACUACAAGGCUAGAGUGUGGUAGGGGCAGAGGGAAUUCCCGGUGUAGCGGUGAAAUGCGUAGAUAUCGGGAAGAACACCAGUGGCGAAGGCGCUCUACUGGGCCAUAACUGACGCUCAUGGACGAAAGCCAGGGGAGCGAAAGGGAUUAGAUACCCCUGUAGUCCUGGCCGUAAACGAUGAACACUAGGUGUCGGGAGAAUUAACCCUUUCGGUGUCGUAGCCAACGCGUUAAGUGUUCCGCCUGGGGAGUACGCACGCAAGUGUGAAACUCAAAGGAAUUGACGGGGGCCCGCACAAGCGGUGGAGUAUGUGGUUUAAUUCGAUGCAACGCGAAGAACCUUACCAGGGUUUGACAUCCUGCGAAUCCUUUGGAAACUUAGGAGUGCCUUCGGGAGCGCAGUGACAGGUGGUGCAUGGCUGUCGUCAGCUCGUGUCGUGAGAUGUUGGGUUAAGUCCCGCAACGAGCGCAACCCACGUCUUUAGUUGCCAGCAUUCAGUUGGGCACUCUAGAGAGACCGCCGGUGAUAAACCGGAGGAAGGUGUGGAUGACGUCAAGUCAUCAUGCCCCUUACAUCCUGGGCUACACACGUACUACAAUGCUACGGACAAAGGGCAGCAAACUCGCGAGAGCUAGCAAAUCCCAUAAACCGUGGCUCAGUUCAGAUCGUAGGCUGCAACUCGCCUACGUGAAGGAGGAAUCGCUAGUAAUCGCAGGUCAGCAUACUGCGGUGAAUACGUUCCCGGGCCUUGUACACACCGCCCGUCACACCAUGGAAGUUGGCCAUGCCCGAAGUCGUUACUCCAACCCGCAAGGGAGGAGGACGCCGAAGGUGGGGCUGAUGACUGGGGUGAAGUCGUAACAAGGUA
rnacentral:rRNA from 1 species